CAAGUGAUGACAAGAGUAAAAAUCGAUUUCAGAACUAAAACCGAUUUAUAAAAUCCUUUCUUUGCACAUGACGUCACGCUCUUCAUAACUCCGCCCACUCCGCCAUGACGGACGUCAAAACAACUAACGCUCCCUUAAAGCUAGUCUGAAAACAGACAUCUGUAACCUCUGCAGCGAACACUUUUUACAAGGCUGGACGGACGGCGGCCUUCACCUCCAGACGCAGCAGGAAGCCAGGAGGAGCAACGUGCAGCAGACAUGACGCAAACAUCCCCGUUCUCCACACAUGUGAUGCGUUUCCUGUAAAACUCAACAAGCUGCUGGAAGGAAAACCAACAUUUUACUCAUGUAGGGAGAUGAUUGACUUGUUUUCCUUCCCACUGUUGCCACAUGCUUGUUCAGGAGGAGGGAUUGCGGAAACGUAUCUACAACUCAGCUCUACGUUAAGUUGCCUCCCAGCUCAAUGUUUACACUCACACAGGAAAAUGGCUACGAACAGAUGCACAAUUAUACAACUGUACAAAUUUGAAAAGCAGAAGUGGAGCCUCCUGCACAACCAACAAGAAUGCAUCAAGUAGCUUCUGGAUGACGCGCUCAUGGCCAGAACAGCGACAGUGACCCGGAGUCAGAGGCGCAGAGAAGCUGACCUCUUGGCAAACCCCAGCCUGCUGGAGCUAAGUGAUCGCCGCAGGCUACAAACGCAGCGCUAGACUCAGACAGACGACACGCACAGGCGGAUCGGCAGAACCGAGCCGGAAACGGCAGGAAGAGAUGGAAUCACAACGUUUCAGCAACAGAAAAGCUGCAGGGUUUCUGCAAAACAGAGGCGUUCAAGAUAACAGCGGUCCGACAUCGCUCAGCGUUCUGGAGGAAAUAUGUUCCUGUAACACAAAUAAUUACGAGGAGAUGCAGCAGAGGCCAGCUAAUGCGACAACAGGUUGGGGUAAUCGGAGAAAAAAGGAGCUAAACUAAGAAAUGUUUAGAUUUAUCUAAAAAAUAUGAUAGAAAACCUUAAAGUUUGAAAAGUUUAAAAUUAACUUGAAAGUCUCAGAAUGUUUAGAUUAACCUCACAGAAUUUCCAGAAUAAAAUUGGAAAUUUCUGAGCUGGAAAAGUCAAAAAUUAGCUUGAAAAAAACUCAAAUUAAUCUCAGAAAUUUCUUAGAAAAAAAAGAGAAAAUUUCUCAGUUUGAAAAUUCAAAAUAAGAAAG